rnacentral:rRNA from 1 species
UACGUAGGGUGCGAGCGUUAAUCGGAAUUACUGGGCGUAAAGCGUGCGCAGGCGGUGAUGUAAGACAGGUGUGAAAUCCCCGGGCUUAACCUGGGAACUGCAUUUGUGACUGCACGGCUAGAGUGUGUCAGAGGGGGGUAGAAUUCCACGUGUAGCAGUGAAAUGCGUAGAUAUGUGGAGGAAUACCGAUGGCGAAGGCAGCCCCCUGGGAUAACACUGACGCUCAUGCACGAAAGCGUGGGGAGCAAACAGG